GAGUUUGAUCAUGGCUCAGGAUGAACGCUAGCGAUAGGCUUAACACAUGCAAGUCGAGGGGCAGCAUGAACUUAGCUUGCUAAGUUUGAUGGCGACCGGCGCACGGGUGCGUAACGCGUAUGCAACUUGCCUUACAGAGGGGGAUAACCCGUUGAAAGACGGACUAAUACCGCAUACACUUGCUUGGUUGCAUGAUCGGGCAAGGAAAUAUUUAUAGCUGUAAGUUAGGCAUGCGUCCCAUUAGCUGGUUGGUGAGGUAACGGCUCACCAAGGCAACGAUGGGUAGGGGAACUGAGAGGUUUAUCCCCCACACUGGUACUGAGACACGGACCAGACUCCUACGGGAGGCAGCAGUGAGGUCAUAUUGGUCAAUGGGCGAGAGCCUGAACCAGCCAAGUCGCGUGAAGCUUGACUGUCCUAAGGAUUGUAAACUUCUUUUAUACGGGAAUAACGGGC
rnacentral:rRNA from 1 species